CCCGCGCCUGGCGGAGCCGGGGAGGGACGUGGCCGUGCUGUCCCCCCGCAGCCGCGGCCUCGGCACCGCUGUCAGAGCCCGGAGCCCGCAGAGGUGUCUCUCUGGCAGCGGAUGCUUCGGUUCCGCGGGGUAGGGGGGGUGGGGAGGGGAGACGGUGCAUCCGUCCGUCCUUCUGUCUGUCUGUCCAUCCGCCCAUCCCUGCGUGGGCGGCGGCUCGUGGGCGUGUGUGACUGACACUGCGGCGGGGCAGCCGCCCUCCCGGGGGAAGCAGGGGGCUGGGAGGGGUACGACGACAACGCCGGCUGCUUUUUGCCCCCUGGCUGCGGCAGCCCCGUCUCCGUCCCCCGCAGCCCUCCCCGGAGGGGGCGACCUCAGCGGCCUCGCUGCUCCUCCUCCCUCCUGGCGGCCAAAAUGAACAAAGAAGUUUAGAAAAUAAUCUGCAAAGGAGCAUCACACCCCAGAAAAGGCUGCAGCAUGAAUGGCGAUACCUGUUACAUGUCAAAGAAUCCAAGCACAGAGGACUGCCAUCUUGAAGCACACAAGUUCAUGAAAGAUCUGGUUUCUUUGGGCCCAUUGCUUAUUUGCUUUAUUUGCUUUUAUGUGAGAAAUGUGAGGAAUUUUUCUAUUUUAACCAAACAUUAAACCAGAAGACAGACUCAAAAAGCUCAGGAAUGUAAUAUUUUAUCACUCCUUCUUUCUCUAAGAUAUUAUUGUUAUAAUGCAUCAUCAGCUUCCACUGCCAGUUCUUUAGAUUCAGAAGGAGAGAGUAAUUUGUCGUGCUUGUAAAGCAGCCAGUACACUCCAGUCUCUGGGCAGAUCCUGGCACCGUAGUCAUGUAAGGAGCUAAGAGUAGUUCACUAGGCGACACAGUUUUGUUGCUGUGUCAACGAAAAAACAGACCAAAAAAUUACGAGUCAUUUUUGUGGCAUCACAUAAGCUGAGUAGUACCUGAGCUACUUUCCUGAGUCCAUGGACAUUUUUAGAGGCAAACAUCCACAAUAACUGCCAGGGCAGCUCGUGAAAGUCACAGCUGCUUUGAUGUAGGUAGCGGUGUCAGUCAUCUUUUGUGCAACUGUGAGAAGGGAGCCUGUGCCCAGAAUCCCCAGUCACAGUGUCUGUCCCGGCUUCGGGUUGCACUGCAGGCUUUGGAAGACCAAAAAGCAAUUGAGAGAGGCCCACUACACCAAGCAGAGAGGAGAGCGAACACCAAGCAGUGACUCUUGGGUCUAUGAGUGAAGGGGACUUUGGUACAAAUGCCCACGGUCAAACUGAUGGUCACUUCCAGGCAGUCCCACAAUUAUGGGACUGCAAUUGUUUAAAUUAGGGUGUUUCAAGCUGCUGUUGCUGAAAUCAAAGCUUUAUGCUGGGCAUUAUAGCAGUGGUAAGCUGUCUUCAAUAUUAAAACACUUUGUGUGCCCUGAAGAAAACCAUAGGCCAUAGAGGAUCUUCUCAGAUGGUUCAUGUAAAAUGCAGAAGAACAUGGGUGGAUUGUCUUUUACAAUAAAAUAUUCACAGUUUACAUACUGUUAUACAGAAUGUCAAAAGUUCAAAAGAGGAGCUGAAACAAUAGAUGCAUGAAAAUAUAAAUGAUACUGUUUUUUCAUUCCAUAGUUCUAUUUCCAUCACUGAUGUGCCUUAACUUGAAUGUCAUUAUAAAAUCUCUUCAUUUAUAAAUGUAUUCAAUAUAUAUUAUAGACAAUAAAUUUUACAGAGAUGUAUGUGAUAAAUCGUGUAUAGUAUUUGAUGUGCAUAGGACAUACAACUCACUAUACAGUACAAUGCCACAUGCAGUACAAAUAUAUGUACUUUGUAUGAAUAUAUAAUAUUUAUAUAUUACCAUAGCUAUACAGUAAUAGUAGAUGAUAUUAACCUGUUAACCAUUAUAUAGAUAUAUGCAUAUUCUGUAUAUACAUAUAUGCCCCAUGCAGUUUCUUUCUACACCUCUUUUCAGAAGAGCCUCUCUAGGAAUGGUGUGCGCAUCUUAAUUCACUUUCUGUUUCUGUGUGCUUCAUCACAUUUUGAAUUUUUUAGUCUGAGGCAGAAAUUGAACAUAAACUACCUGCAGUUAUAAAAGUGUGAUUCUGGCCUACAGUCUGCACAAGUUUUGAUACAGCUUAGUGUCCUGCUUAAAGUGACAAAAAGCUAUGAUUUGCCCUUAGAUUAAAAGUUGGCGUAUGAUUUAUUUUUUAUGCAGACCCUGGUUUCAGUGGCACCAUUUGUUUAAAGCAAAUGAACUCCUCUGUGAGUGCUGCAGAACAAGGGCUCAGGAGUGAGUCAGGUCCCUGAUGCAGAUACAACUGUCAUCAUCCUACAUCGUUCUAGCCUCUAAGCACCUUCAGUGUAGGAAGCCCAUUAUUCAAAGUAAAAAUGUUCACUGCCACCCUCUAAGGGUAAGAAUUAAAAAUGUAUUAGUGAUAGUGAUUAAUAAUUUACAUGUGAAUUUCAAGAAGCUAGCAAAGGUUCAGAGCUGUGUGUGCAUGUAUGUGUCAGGGGGAGGGGGAAUUGUGUACUUUUCAGUGAUCUAAUUGAAGAAAUUCAACAAACCUACCCAUCUAGUGUAUGUGUGAAAAGAAGCCACAGAUUUGGUUAUUCAUUCCACAUCCAUUUGAUAGUGAGAUAGAUUUUGGGGAAGCUGCAUGUUAUACACUUUCCCCUUUGGGCUCAUAACAGUUUGCGGUCUUUUUAGUGAUUUUAAUGGAAAAUGUUUUAAAUAUUUUUCUUCACCAGAGAAAAAAGAAAAUGCUUCAAAUGUUGAAUAACUAAAGGUAUUUCUGUGAGUCUGUCCACAGACAGUUUGGGUAAGUCUCCUACUGAAUUAGGCCAUAUUCUCUACCACCACUUGUUCUGCAGUUUCAUCUGAAUGCAAAAUUUUUCACUUUCCUCUGCUACAUUACUGCUCUAUUAUGUCUUCUAACCAAAGAGUCUCUAUCUAAAGGAUCUAUGCAUCAUUCUGGCCUACAGCAUACAUAAGAUUACAUUCUGAUUACAUUUUUUUCUGGACUGAUUCCUGUUCCACACACACUGCUCAUACUUCUCUCAUUUACAUAUGUAAGCUGCUGUGGUGUGCGUGCUCCCCAUUUCCAGCAAAUAAUCAGCGUUAGCAUUAAAAUCAUAUUUGUAAUUCACCUCAGCCACUUUCUGCAAGCUUUGUAUCAACAACUAAUUGUCAGCCUGUGUCCCACCUCACCUUCACUCAUGCACGCAGAAAAGCCCAGUCACUGACAAAAAACUUUCAACCUAGUUUUGUUAGUGAAACAGAUAUGUACAUUUUUUGUUUGUGUGUGAUAAAAUUCAUAUGAUUAUGUUUAGACUGUAAAAUUUCUAAUGAUAAAAUACAGCCAAUGGGUGUCUUUCUGUUGAGGUUAGUUUUCUUUACAAGCAUCAGCCACACUUGUUCCAGACCCAAUGAAAUUCUUUCUUUUACAGCUCCUGGGGACAGAGAACACAGCACAUCCUAACAACAGCAAUAGACUCAGCUGCGAGAGAUCUCUAUCACACAUCACAGAGAAUUUGAGGCAGUUGGCAGUUAUCAGCUGUAGCAGGUAGUCAGUAGAAGUGUAGAAGAUAAAUAGAUAAUAGAAAAGCAAUCUGGAAACCUGGGAGAUAUAAUAAACCUCUGUUCUAGAGGAGAUGUAACAACUCAGGCAUGUCAGUGAUGAACUCAACUCUCAGAUCAGUACUGCAUCUAAUACUGUUGAAAAUACAGCAGCAGUUUGCUCUUUGUGUGUGUCAGGUCUGAAGUAGUACAUAGGAUGUUGUUGGAAACACAGUUUGAUAUAUUCAGUUAUAGAAAUUGCUAUCACAGUUAACUGAAGAUGGAUCAUGCUGCUGAAAAGCAGCUGACCACAAUCCCAGGGACACCGUGACCCUCCGUUAAAUUAUGCUUGCCGGAACAGAAAGCUACUUACACCCACUUCCUAUUCUACAUGCUGUUGUGUCUAUGCUGCAAGUGCAACCAUUACAUAAUGUUCCU